AGUUGCCAUCUCUCCUGGCCGAGCAUGCCCGAUGUCAGGUGCUGUCACCGCUCCAGGCAUGCCAAAGAACAGAGGAGAGCAGGUAUCCUUUGAGCAGCCUCUGGAGUAGAAUCAGGAUUUGAGGUACCCGGAGGAGGUUUGCAGCCAAAGUUUGGAAACGGCAGCACCGAAGCAAACACGGAGAACGUCCCGACGUCCACGUACAACCGACGAUAGAUUUUGUCCGCUCGUCUUCCAAAAGCUAAGUGUCGCGGCCGGUAGUUGGGAGAAGGGGAAAAACCUUUACUAUCACAGGGGGCAAUUUGAUGUCAGUUUAGCGCAGAGGUCUGUAGCGGGACGGGCUCUCUGGAAGCAAAGGGAGAGGGUUUCUCCUCAGCCUCACCACAGCCUCUGCCGGGCAGGGCAGUUCCGACCCAUCUCCACAUUGUCGUAAACUUUGCGUCGUCAGCCUUCUUCAACUCGACAUCGUCACGGAUCUUUCGCCCGAGGAGUUCGCCUUCAGGUCCGGAGCUACGGCCACGGUCAACCGGCGGUCUCCGCUUCCUUCUCUAGGCCCACCGAGCCUCUCGAGCGUCCUCUUAACCGCUUCGGCGCUAACUUCGUUUAACGAGUUACAUUUCAUCAUUACAUCCUAUCGUCAUACGGCUUUCUUUCCUUUUGCAUCAUCAGCCCCCGGCUCAUCUUGCGCUAGCAAUCUCGGGUCCAUAAGGUGAAAGCGCCAGGCAGUUUCCACUUGUCUCUCCGUUACAUCAUCCGUGUCUAUGUUACGUCAUCCAUGUCCGUGUUACGUAGUCUGUCUCCACCGUCUUCCAUGUCGUAGGCCUUCGUUCCAUCCCAGCUCUUUACGGGCACUAUUUCUUGCCAUAUCGGCCGUAUUUUACACACAUUCCUUCACUUAUUCCGGCAUCUUUAAAUCUUUACUCUUUGAGACAGGAAGGAUUACACAAGAUGUCCUCAUCCAUCUUCCUUCUCGCUACUGGCUUUGGUAGCGCCUUUUCCUCCACGCCAUUCUCUUGGACUUUUAGAGGGAGUGUCUUACACCCUCCUCACGUGACCGCAGUAGUUCUCUAGGUUCCAUCUUCUCAAAGGGUAUAGGGCUCAAGAAUUAAUCUUUCAGAGAGUUAUGUCAAGUCCUGGCUUAUACCUUAUCUACCUGUGUUGGCUUAUACUCUGUGUACUUAUACUGUAUCUACCUGCGUUGGCUUAUAUUGUAUGUACUCUAUAUUGUCUGUACCUAUGUUGGCUUAUAGUGUAUGUACUUAUAUUGUCAGUACCUAUGUUGGCUUAUAUUGUCUGUAAUUAUGUUGGCUUAUAGUGUCUGUACCUUUAGUGUCUGUACCUAUGUUGGCUUAUAGUGUCUGUACCUAUGUUGGCUGUCCCUAUGUUGGCUUAUAGUGUCUGUACCUAUGUUGGCUGUACCUAUGUUGGCUUAUAGUGUCUGUACCUAUGUUGGCUUAUAGUGUCUGUACCUAUGUUGGCUUAUAGUGUCUGUACCUAUGUUGGCUUAUAGUGUCUGUACCUAUGUUGGCUUAUAGUGUCUGUACCUAUGUUGGCUUAUAGUGUCUGU